AGCUUUAUAGUCAAUAAUUAUGAUAUCAGAUUGCAAAUCUGAAGUAACAUUUAUGUUAAAGCUU
rnacentral:tRNA from 1 species